AUCAAUAGAAGAACGGUUAAGUUGGCCCCGUCCCGGCGCAACCCCGUUCUGACUUACGUCCUGUAAG
rnacentral:sRNA from 1 species